rnacentral:rRNA from 1 species
UACAGAGGUGGCAAGCGUUACUCGGAAUUAUUGGGUGUAAAGGGCAGGUAGGCUGCCUGUUAAGUGAGAGGUGAAAUCCUGCGGUUCAAUCGCAGAACUGCCUUUCAAACUGACAGGCUUGAGUGUGACAGAGGAAAAUGGAAUUCUCGGUGUAAGGGUGAAAUCUGUAGAUAUCGGGAAGAACACCAACGGCGAAGGCAAUUUUCUGGGUCACAACUGACGCUGAACUGCGAAAGCUAGGGGAG